rnacentral:piRNA from 1 species
UACUUAUGGCGCCUCACACUUGUGGUCCAA